rnacentral:tRNA from 1 species
AGGGGAAUAGUACAAUGGUAGUGCGACGGUCUCCAAAACCGUUAAUGGGAGUUCGAUCCUCUCUUCCCCUG